GCCUGGCUGGCUCAGUUGGUAGAGCAUGCGACUCUUGAUCUCAAGGUUGUGAGUUCAAGCCCCACAUUGAGUA
rnacentral:tRNA from 1 species